CCUGGGCAAACCCAGAGAGCAGCAGGGGGAUUACCUGCUGACAAGUACAGCAAGGGUGAGCAGAUUGCCCUGUGAUAAAAGCCGCUCAAUUGCAUCAUCUCUCCAGCAAGGGGAAACCAGCUCUAAGGCAGCCAUCUAGUUGCAAGCUAAGCUGCAAAAUGUGCGCUGCGACAGACUGAAGCAGAUAAAGAACAAAUUUGCAUGUUACUGGGUUGCAAGAGCCCUUUGAUUGUUGGAGAGGCCCGAUAAUGCUGUCAAGAGCUCGGUGGACUGAGCGGCGGCCGAGACGCACCAGAUCUGCACUAAGUGUAGCUGACAGCAAACGAUUUAGAGUCAGCACGGAAUCAAAGCGUUGGAAAUAUCUCAAGUAAAAAUGUUAAAAACACAAAGAAGCCUGCAUCUUGAUAAGAGGACAUCAGUGAGGAGAGAUAUGCACAGAAAGAAAGAAAAUGACCUUGAGUUUAUAAAAAUGCUACACGUCUCGGAAUUGUAAAAUGCCUAAAAUGAAAAGAAAAUGGGCAGCUCAAAUCAGACUUCAAGCUAGGAAAGCCUGAAAGUUGUGUGCUUGCCACAGUUGAAGAAGAGAAAAAGAAGCAAUAGCUAACUGCACGGAUUAUUAUAGAGAUUACGCUUCUGUUUUCGAGACCAGUCAUUUGCUCGUACAAAUGAGCCUAAUGACUUAAAGCACCAAGACAUACAUGUCUCUGCUGUGCACACCUCCUUGACAUGAAAUGCAAGACUCAAAAUACAAAAAUAAUUUUAGGAAGGAAAAACUGAUUAGUGGCAAUGAUCAAGACAAAUCUUGCUAUUUGAAAAAACAAAUAAAAAUACUGGAAAUGAAACCUUAAGUAGUAUUAUUAAAUAAUAAUAUCAGGGUGGGGCACGGUGGCUCACGCCUAUAUUUCCAGCACUUCGGGAGGUCCAGGCAAGUGGAUCACCUGAGGUCGAGAGCUGGAGACCAGCCUGGCCAACAUGGCAAAACCCCAUCUCUACUUAAAGUACAAAAAUUAGCAUGGCAUGGUGGUGUGCACCUGUAGUCCCAGCUACUCAGGAGGCUGAGGCUGGAGAAUCGCUCGAACUCAGGAGGUGGAGCCUGCAGUGAGUCAAGAUCUCGCCGCUGCACUCCAGCCUGGGCAACAGAGUGAGACUCCAUCUCAAAAAAUAAUAAUAAUAAUUUAAAAUAAUAAUACAUUUGCCGCAUUGGAAAAUAGGUCUUCAGCAAAGUAUGCUAUAUAGUGUAUCAGUAGGGAGUAAGCUAAUGGUUCUUCUCCAGGAAAGACUGCAUCUUCUGUCAGCAUUUGAUGUGAUUCAAAUCAGACUCUUCAGUUUCUUCACUUAUGUUUUUCCCUUUCCUUUCUCUCCAUAAAAACAAUGACUAUCACCAGGUCUGUAAUCUUCUUCCAGAGAGAACCACCAGAAAAGAAGAGCAGGUAGACAUAGCUGGAAAAUCGAAGCCCCAAUUUUCUGACAAACAAAACUAGCCAGAAUAAGCAAAUAAAUUACAUGUGCACGUGUUUCUCUUUAGUCUUUACCUGUGUAUUUCCCUAGAGGGGAAAGGUUUAUAAAAACUAGAAAGAGGCCAUGUUUUCUUUAUCACUUGAGUUUAUCAAUCACCUAACAUAAAGCCACC
rnacentral:lncRNA from 1 species